CCACAGCAUGUUCACUGACAAAGUUUGAAUGGAACACAGCUAUGCCUAUUCUGUCACUUACUGACCAUGGCUGCUUUUACGCUCUGAUGACAGAGUUGGGUAAUUGUGACAGAGACCACAUGGCCUGCAAAACCAAAAAAAAUGCACUAUCUGGCCCAUCACAAAAUUGUUGGCCUACUCCUCUCAAUAAAGAUCUUUCUCCCAAAGCUAUGGAUCAUAUGGCUAUCCCUAGCCAGCCACAUGGUACAACAAAAAAGCAACCAGGGCUUCAUGCCCAGAUACCUGUGUAAACUUAGAAAGUGAUUUAACUCCCAUAGAGCCUCGUUUCCUCCCUCUGGUCCCUUAUUAUAGAGCUGUUUCCAGCUCUAAAAUUACUUGAUCUCGGCAAGGCCUGAUGUUAGUUGCAAAGGGGUGGGCUGGAUGGCUUAGACGCCCCUUCAUCACGACCACAGAUUGAUGCCUAGGGAAGGGGUCUCUGCAGCAUCGUUGUUCCACAAAAGGAUGUGGUACUGCAUGCUUAAGAGGCAUUCUGAUCCCUAAAAAUCAUAACUCUAUCCACGUGACUUCAUUUUCAAGAUUGUGGCCCCAAUUACAGAAGCCAAGUGAAGCAGACAAUUAGAGGAACUGGCUAAAUGGUACCCAGCUUGGCAAAUGCUCUAUCCUGAAAGUAUAGGAUUGUGAUGUCAAUCAUAGAAGAUGCCUUAAAUCCAUCUAACUGGUGAGGCUCCUUGCUUCACCAGGCAAGCCUCUUUUCAUUUUCCGAAGGGGCAGGACUAAUUUGGGAUGAUCUGGAUAAAUGCCUGGACUGUCCCUUUGACUUGGUUAAUGAAGAUCUGGCCAGAAGCAGCACCCCCUGGCAGCCCAGAUCCAUGUUGGAAAAUCCAACUUGCAAGCAAUAGAUUCUUUUCCUCGUGAGCCUUCGAACACUGUUGACUUCAGUCCUGUUCCAAAAGUCUUGUGAGAAAGAGAAAGCUUGAUGUUUGCCAGAUGAUACUUUUUAAAGCCAAUUUUCCAAGACUUUAAAACCCUUGAGCAGCUGUGGUUAGCACCUAAUCAUAUUCUUUUGUGAAUGGGACGCCUGGUCAAAAUAAUUGGCUGUCACUUAUCCAGUGAGUCUUGUGCAUCAAGAAAAAUCCUGGGUAUUUAAUUCUAACAUUUAUCCAACCUUUUACCCUUCCCAAUAACAAAAGGCUUGUUAACAAUUGUGGUAAUUGUGGUGAGGGAAGUUCUGGUUACAACUGAGAGUAGCGUGAAAUAAAAUCUAUCUGGGCAUUACUCUUUUCUAAGCUUUGAUCUCAUUUUACCUUCCUGAUAGAUCACAAAAGAUCUCAAAGUCAAGCUUAGCCCCCCACCCCCAACAAACCACAAUGCGCAAACAGCCCAAAUUAAUUGGACCCAACCUUGUCUUUAACCAAAGGAGCCUACUGGCCUCUAAGUACCUUUUUCCUAUUUUUCAUCCAUGUCUUGAGGAAGUGUAUACAAGGAUUUUUCCAUUCCAAAUAAGCAAGAAUACAAAAGCAGCAGAAAAAUGAAUUUCACUGAAUUCCUAUCGUAUGAAACUCUGUGAGAAUACUAAGUACGUAAUUACACACUCAACCUUUUGAGGAGGUUCUUGCUCGGGACUGCUAUUUCAGAACACAACGCUUCUCAAAUCAAAGAGGUUCAGCAUUGAGAGGGAUCUCAGAAGAGAGUGGUCCAGCUGCUGUGUACUCCAGAUGGUGGAAGGGAGGCUAGGGAGGGGAGGGACCUGCCCAAAGUGAGCAGGACACUGGUUGGAGGACAGGAUUCAGCUCCUACUUCUCCAUAUGCCCAGUCUCUGUAUAUACUGGGCUGGUUCCUCUACCCCACCUCCAUUUGGACACCUCAGAAUGGAAAUGAUUGAGUGUUUUUAACACUCACAGCCAUGAGAGUGGGAAGAAGGUGCCCUGAUAUAUUGUCAUGGACACUCUAAGUGAACGUGCCUAUAUUUUCUACCAGUGGGUCUUGCUGGGUCAGACUUUCCUCUGCAACGGGGAGUCUUCUGGUCUUAUUUGCACUACCCAGGCAGCAAAGCCCCGAGCCUUCUAGAAAGCCUGCCAGAGUGAUGGAGGAUUUGUUUUGCCCAAACACCAGAACUCAGCAGAUCCAGAUGAACACUGUUUCCUGAGGAGGAGCUCAGGUGUGAGACAGUGACGAAGGGAACCGAGCACUGGCUGCAGAAAAGAAGGGCUUCUAGGAACACGAACAUGAGCUGAAGGACGGAGGGCUUUGUCUCCUUUGAGUUCUGCUCAAGGUUUAUCCCUGGGUGGACUGUGCAAGGCAAAGGGUCAGAAACAGGGUAAAGGCUACCUGGGGAUGUACUUGCCUAUAUGAAGCAUAUGUAUUCCAGAAAUCUUCAUGUAAACCGAAUCAUAGAUUUACACUAUUUUAUCAGAGAAGGUCUCUGUUAAGUUUUUAAUGCUCCUCAAGUACCAAAGUUGUCUUGCCUUUUCAACUUACACGUUCUCUGGUCCUAGCAUCCCCGGGUUCAUUCACGCCUUCAUGCCUGCAUCAAGUAUUUACUGACAGCUUACUAUGUAGAUAUAUCGUACAAGGACCACUGUGAUAGAAUUAAAUUAGGAAUCAGUAUCAGAGAGGUGACUAAAAAAUCCCCAAGUCUUUGUAAAUGAAAUAUUUACUUUGAAUAAACCCAUAAGUCUAGGAAGAAAUCACAAUGGGAAUUAGAUAAUAUUUUGAACUGAAUAAUAAUGGAAAUAUCUCAUUCCAAGAGAAGUAAGGAAAAGGCCGAGCAAUGGUUGUCUUUUGUGAGGAAAAAAUAUGGCAGAAUUAAAUAGCCCUGGGAGUUUGGAAGAUCCUGUUUUAUUUAUGGUGCGGCUAUAUCAUGGGGGGCACUACUACAGAUUUGCUUAAAUGAGGCCACAGAUUCCAAUUUUACAUUUCCCUUUAUACACCCAAUAUGUAGCAUUGAUAUAGGACUUCAGAAAAGCCCACAAGUUGGUCCUCCGUUCAUAUCCUGGGUUGGAUUGCUAGUCGAUACGGAUCCCACACCCCAA
ensembl:lncRNA